CCUACGGGAGGCUGCAGUGGGGAAUAUUGCGCAAUGGGCGAAAGCCUGACGCAGCGACGCCGCGUGAGGGAUGAAGGUCUUCGGAUCGUAAACCUCUGUCAGCAGGGAAGAACGGUCACUGUGUUAAUCAGCAGUGAAUUGACGGUACCUGCAAAGGAAGCACCGGCUAACUCCGUGCCAGCAGCCGCGGUAAUACGGAGGGUGCGAGCGUUAAUCGGAAUUGCUGGGCGUAAAGGGGUCGUUGGCGGUAUGUCAAGUCAAGGGUGAAAUCCCCGGGCUCAACGUGGGAACUGCCUUUGAAACUGGCAAACUGGAGUGUGUGAGAGGAUAGUGGAAUUCCAGGUGUAGGAGUGAAAUCCGUAGAUAUCAGGAGGAACAUCAGUGGCGAAGGCGACUAUCUGGCACAUAACUGACGCUGAGGAGCGAAAGCGUGGGUAGCAAACAGGAUUAGAUACCCUAGUAGUC
rnacentral:rRNA from 1 species